UAGAAAAACAAACCCAGCCUUCCUCUCGAUCUCAUCUGGACAUCCAGCCCAGCCCCGCCCCGCCCCUCACAGCCGGCCGCCGCCGCCUCCUACCCCGCCGCCGCGCCUACCCCUACACCAAGUGCCAACACACCCGCGCCCAUCCACUACCGGGGACCCGCGGCCUUCUACCGCCGGCGGCACUCGACGUCGCGGCAAUUGGCGGCUCCCCGACCUUGCUACCAUGGCGCCUCCGGGGCUCCUCCCCGCUGCUUCCACCUUGACAUUGGUUUCCCCAACCCCGCUGGCUUCGCCACCAGCCACUCCUUCUAGGCACACUCUAUCUGCCGUCGGACCCAUCCGCCUGGUUCCAAUGGUGAACAUCGCCGCCACCCUAUUGUGAGGCGAGGUGAUGUUCUUCGAACUGCCGGCUUGAUUCUGCCUAGAAGGGGAUAUCAUACUUCUCCUAAUCAGGAUUGUUGUGUAACGGAAUGAUGGUAGGAUGCUGAAUAAUAAUGGAAGAAAAAGGAGUACAGGCUUUACCUAAUGUACCUACAGCAACAAUGGGUUGCCCCACCAAACAUCACUAGAGGACUAGGAAGGAAAACGGUGAUUUCUCAAUCAGGUUCUAUUGGCCGUUCUAGCAUUAGCAUCAUGAAGAUUCUGGAACAGUGCACGACAUGCCCAAUCCCAAGGUCUUGCCUUAGCUGGUGAAGCACAUGAGCUGGUGUCAAGCAAUAUCCCCUGUAUACUUUGUCCUUGUGUUCUUUCCAGGUAUGCAUCCAUAUCAGCUGCAUCAGGGAGCUCCAUGCACAGUGGUACUACUUCCGAACGUGUAGAACAUGCAAUUGUAUGUAAAUCGCCUUGAAAUGAUGGUUGCUGAAUACUGCGUUAUGCUUGAUAGUCAUCUACCUGGACGACUUCAAGCGCUAAUAGGUAAAUCCUUUUAGAUUUUGUAGUUCUUUUCAGUACAGAGAUAAUUCUGUUUCUUGCUUCCCAAUUUUUGGUCGACAAAACAGAGAGGCUUUACAUUAUAAAAGUUACAGUAAUAGAUUAUAAGUAAGAAAAUAAGGUCCAAGCCAGACUCCAACUUAUAAAGGUUUUGUCUUUCACGUAAGGGGAUAUCAUACUUCAUCUAAUCAUGGUUGUCGUGUAACCUAAUGAUGGUUAGUUACUACAUCCAUAGAGAAAAUGAACAUGGAGAUAUUCUCAUGUCCAUAGUUUCCAGCGAUGAGAAUGGGCUACCCGACAUUGCUCGGCUGCUGAAACUGAGCAAACUUUGUGUAGUUAUUCAUGGUAGAAAUUCCUAGUUAAAUUAUCUAUUUCGCCAAAUUGAGAAACUGCAUACAUGCCUUCGUCAAUGCGCAAUCGAACAGCCGUCAGGUGGUGAUGAGAGGACUACUAAAAGCAAGGGAAACACACUUAAGUUUGCUAUCCACAGUUUCUUCAGAAUCUAAAUACCAGUGGCAUCACAAGUGGGCUUCUCAAUUAAUCCAAAAGACCCAUCAGGUUGCAAAGAUAAAAACAAUGAACAGAACAUAUCUGAAAGCGGCCCGAGCAUCCUCUACUACUUUCGUUUAGAUGUUAUUUAUCUUGCUGUGUUGACAUAUUUUCUUCUUCCGUAGAUGCAAAGCAUCCAGGAUGUGAUCAAUCAUAUGCUGGAGAAUGGCAUUGAGACCUUACUUCACUGGAUAAUGGCAUUUAUAUGCGAUUCCAGUCCUUUCACAGUGCAGGUGAACUGGAAAUUCUAUCAAAGACAACUGUCCUUUCUUCAGUGUACAUGCAUGAUAUUACAUGAUUAAACAUACCAUUUUUAACUUCAUUUAGUUGUCUAUAUUAUGCUCUAUGUGCUAUUACCAACAGAAAUAGUGUUACCUCCGUACCAGGCCUUCCAAAUAUCUUAUAUUUUGGUACGGAGGUAGUACUUUUAGCCUGCAAAGCGACUUCUAUGCCCAUUGUGGCAAUAAUGUGUUUGCACCACUGAAGAGAUAACUUAUUUUUUUCAUUGUAAGAAACACAUCAUGUUUCUUCCCCAUCAUUCAAGUGUGUGCCAUGUUAUCUUUGUUCAUGUUGCUGGCUGUACAUUUUCAGUAUUCUCAGGAUAUAUCUGAUUAUGAUGAUGUUCCGUACUGCUCUGGAGCCGGCAACUUUUUGGACUGCUCGAUGUUUAUAACCAAUGAGACUACUUUUUUGGUUGUUGGCUGGAGCUAUCACUAUGACUGAAAUUUUCUUUUCACCCAAGUAAAUUUAUAUGGUCAUCAAAAACCAACGACAGGUCAACACUUGUCAGCAGUUUGCAAUUUGUAUUACAGUAUGCCUAAGCCAAUGUUCAGACAAUGUUGUUUUAGUUAGGAAAUGUAGAAAACAUGGUCAUGAUUUAUGUAGAUUGGACAGUCCCUUCAAACUGCAGUCUUUGAUCUAGAGUGGACAAUCUAACUAUAUGUUUCCUUUUAGAAAAUGACUAUAUGUUCCAUGAAUUCACUGCUUAUUUUGGCCAGAUCAGAUUAAACUAGGUCUUGAUUUCAAGGUUCAGUUAAGGCAGUUGGUGCAGGUUUGUUUGCUGUAAUACUAACUGUGCUAUUUAGACAGAGACAUUUGCUCUUUCUCAUUCCUCGACAUUUUCCUUUGCUACCAAGAUUUUUCAUUCUAGGUUGUGGAAAACGCAUGUAGCGUUCCUUCUACAAGUCGUCAUGAGCUGGGACAUAGAAGAAGAGAGCCGACGAGAAGUCGCAAAGCGGUUCGCUCUGGUGUCGCUGCCAAUGGCGCUGCACAAAGUGCAGAUUGCAGGCUAGAUGCGUACAAAUCCGUCCCUACUUCCACGACGUGGAAGCAAAGGAAAUUUAGUCAAUUAGAUAGUAUAUUUGGUUAUGAAAGUUAUCUUUUGUGUAUGCAGUUUUGCCAUCAUUUUGUAAAAGCUUUGAGUUUUUUUAUAAUGUAAUUGUCUUACUAAUCACACUUUUAAUUGAUUUGUGCCAAGGCUAAUAGCCAAGUUAUGCACAAACUGUUCAUGUUUCCUUGAUGACUGCUAUUGUCAGAAGAUUCUUUUCAGCAUUUAAGUAAUACCGAUCCCACUUUCAGUUAUGUGUGCAAAGGCCAGUAGCAAAAUAAUGACUGCUCCUUGCUGGUCGGAUAUUUCCUACUUCCAGGAUAUCUCAUUAUGCUUUCCGCAGCAUGCUGAUUUGUGAACGAGAACCUACGUGAUCACCCACCCUGAUUUGUGAAUUCGUAGUCACAUUCAGACACUCAGGUAUCUCUACUCCUAAUGAGCAGUUUGUGAAUAGUCCGCGCGGUUUAUUUUUGCUGGUUUAUUUUCGUCAUCCUUCCAUCUCCGUUUUAUUUUCGUCAUCCUUCCACCUUUGCUUACUCGGUACCCUCCAGCGAAAUAAACCGGUGCCAAAAAAACCCUAGGAUCGAUCCCUCGUUCCCACAGCAGAUCGGUCUCCGCCGCCAACCAGACCUUCGCACGCCCGAUCCAGCCCUACGCCCCCUCCGUGGCCGAUCCAUCCUGUUCCGCGGCCGAUCCAUGCCCUAUGCCGCCGCCGAUGCCUCCUCCUCCACCUCCAUUCCCAAGCGACGGCGCCCGCGGCCGCAGUCUUCUCCCCUAGCCACCAUGGCUGCAGAUCCACUCACGGCCGGUCGUCUAAGCUGCAAGCAUGGAUGGAUGGAUCCAGGAAGGUAUCCUUCCUCCCUGGGUGGAGCGAGCUGCACAUCCCGUUCGGCCCUCUGGAGCCGGCCAUCUCCGCCUCCUCCUCGCCGUCGCCGCCGCCGGGGAUCGUGUCUUCACCAAGCGCGAGCUCCGCCCCAUCCGACCGACCGCAAAGGGGUUAUCCAUUGUAAAUUUUCAAGGAAAUUCAAAUGUUCCUCUUCUGGCCGAUUGAAGGGAUACUUGAAGCUAGGGCAAUCCAAGUAAGAUAGCUUCAUCCUCAGGCAACAGGUUUAUGUUAUCUUAUCAUGGAGUCAUUUUUAAGUUUGUGCCCAACGCCUUCAUCCUUAGAAUGGCUGCCCAGAUGGCAAGCCACUGUACUCAGGCGACUGCCGCGCUAGCAGGGUGCUCCAACUUUUGAUGCCGGCGAAGCUUUUGGAAUGAUGGCUACAUAAUUUGUUAGUCUCCGGAAGCUUAAUUAAACUGAGGUUCAGAUGUGUGGCAAAGGAUUUCAAUUUUCCCGUUUACACAAAGGAAACUUGAGGAAGGUUCAGAUUUCUCAUGCUCGGUGCUGUGCUCUCAAGGUUACAUAGACAAAAAUGCCUCCUAUUUACACAACGGCAACCCGACGAAGGAUGACGGGGCGGGUCGGGAGGCGGGGAAAGCCGUCCAUGGCGAUCCUGGUGGCAUUGCUAAUGGCGCCAGUGGCACUGCCGCUCCUCAUGGUGCCCGACACGCUCUCUAUGCGAGGCUCCAACGGCGUGGAUCGCGGCGCCGCCCUGUCGCUCCCAUGCCCGUGCUUCAGCAGAUCCGUGUUUGAGUCAUGCAUACCUUUAGCUGCCUCCCCUCCAAUGUCCACGACUCUGAUAUACCGUGUUUGUUAGUCUUGACUGGUGUUUGUUCUCCGUAUUGUUGUGCAGGAGGCUGGAGAACAGCAGGGAGAAAAGGGAGUCGUGGAUGGAGGUUCUGUACUUCUGUUGUAUCAACAUCUUCUCCAUGAGUCUUUUGCCCCCACUCUGUUUUUGCUUUGGGCCGAAACGUCAUCGUCUUGAUUCUUUACGUGGUUCAUUGGCUCAGACUUGUCCUACAUGGCCGAGCGAGAUCGAGGCUAGCCGCCGGUAAUGUUCUUCUCCCGUGCAAGUUCCGCACUGCAUUGAAGCAUCCAACACAUGAUGUAGCUACGUUACAGGUGGGACAUCAGCCAAGUAUGUUUCGAGGUGAGACAUCCAUCAAGUUUGUUUGGAGAAAUUGUGCAGUCCAGCUCCACUGUGUCCAGCUCAUCCGACCAUGUGAUCCACUACAUCUAGGUCAGCCGAUCUUGUGGCAGAGCUACACUGACGCAAGAGCAAAUAGUUUUACAAUUUCUUUGUUGUUCCUUUGUACUGGAUAACUGUGCAUUUUUAGAGGUGUGAAGAUGUAAUGCAAUAACAGUAACUGGGCGUAGGCACAUCCGUCUCGAUAAGCAUUAUGGGAACGGACAAAGGCAAGGCAUUCCAAUAUAAGAAAUGGAUGAAGGCAAGGAGAGUCGGAUCCUCCUUGGCUCGGGGUGUCAUGGGCGGCGCAUGCCUCGCCCCCUUUGCUGGCGGUUGGAUCGGCGUGAGCACGGGGAGGGAGGAUUAGGGCAGAGAGUAGGGCGGUUGGUGGUGGACUCUUUAUUAGCAGUCCGUCGGGAAGUAUGGUGCGAAGGAGAGAGGUGUCAUUGCGAUGGUGAUGCCGGUGUCAUCUGCCUUUGAAGGAGAGUGCUCCAGUGAGAAAUGUCCUGCUACAGCAAGAAAUCAAGCAGGAAGGGAGGGUCCUGCAGGAAAAGGGAAGGGUGCGUCAUGGGGUGGAAUUUUUUGUUGGGACUUUGGACCGUGUGUUUAAGAUAACAUGACAGAUAGUGCUGACAACCAUAUGUCCCCCCCAUGGGCUGGAUUUGGGGGUGGAUGGACUGUCCAGAUGGUUGGAUUUUGGAUAGCCUGUUAGGGGCUUGUUUGAUGCUCAAACACGCCCGGAUGUAAGGGAAAUGAAUUUCAACCUUGGAAACGGCCUUAAUCAUUUAUUUGAUUUAUUUAUAUGCACUAUAGCUUGUAUCAUACAUAAAGAAGCACUCAAAAUAAAGCAAACACGGCUGAACUUAAUCAUUUGUUUGAUUCAUUUAUACAUAUUGUAGCCCGUACCAUACAUACAGAAGCACUUGAAAUAAAGCAAGCCGAUUGGGAUUCCGAUAUAUCUGAACAACAAUGUUUAUAUCUGUAUGGUAUUCCAAUGAGCAUAGGCGGGUAACAAAUUCGGAAUACAAACAUUUAUUUUUGUCAUCACUAUAUAUAAUAUAAUAUUAAUUUUGGAAAUUGUGGGGAUGUGCCUCGCUAUUUUGGUUUUCAUUUUAUGCUCUGGUGGAACAGUAAAGAACCGGUUAAGCCGCUUUGCGCGAUGCAUAUUGUCUGUUAAAUGUUUGAAGACCUUGGAUGUGAAGUACUCGUGCUAACUACAUUUUUUUGCUUGUGUGGGAUGAGUAUGAAUUGAGGAAGUAGUUUUUAUUAUAUUUUCUAAAACAUGGUGCGAAUGAAGCUAAAGAAUCUUUUCCAUUGGGCGAGAAUUUCUUAAGCGCAUCAAGUAGUAGAUCUUAAUAAUUUAUAAUGGAUUUUUAAUUGGAUCAUUGCUCUAUAUGUAUACAUCAUCAAUUUGCAUUUUUGUUAUCAAUUAUUGUAAGUGAAGUGGACUUCAAUUAUUAUGCACUUGUGUCCGUGCUAUAUUGUCUUUA